rnacentral:rRNA from 1 species
GAUGAAUGCUGGCGGCGUGGAUAAGGCAUGCAAGUCGAGCGGACCGCAAGGUCAGCGGCAGACGAGGUAGUAAUAUACAGGUACUCACCGAAAAGUCGGGCAUAGCUAUUCGAAAGAGUAGGUAAUUCCCGAUAGUCCUUCCGAGGUAAAGGAGCAAUCCGCUUUUUGAGAGGCCUGUACAGCAUCAGCUAGUUGGUACGGUAAUGGCGUACCAAGGCUAUGACGCUUAGGGGAGCUGAGAGGCUGACCCCCACCGAUAGCACUGAGACACGGGCUAUACACCUACGGGUGGCUGCAGUCGAGAAUCUUCCACAAUGGACGAAAGUCUGAUGGAGCGACGCCGCGUGGUUGAUGAAGUCCUUCGGGACGUAAAAACCUUUUAUGGAGGAGGAAGUAAUUGACUCUGUACGUG